CCUACGGGAGGCAGCAGUGAGGAAUAUUGGUCAAUGGACGCAAGUCUGAACCAGCCAUGCCGCGUGCAGGAAGACGGUGCCAAGCAUUGUAAACUUCUUUUGUCAAGGGACAAAAUCAGGCUCGAGAGUCUGACCGAGGGUACUUGAAGAAAAAGCAUCGGCUAACUCCGUGCCAGCAGCCGCGGUAAUACGGAGGAUGCGAUCGUUAUCCGGAUUUAUUGGGUUUAAAGGGUGCGUAGGCGGACUGUUAAGUCAGCGGUAAAAGCCCGGGGCUCAACCCCGGCGAGCCGUUGAAACUGGCUGUCUUGAGUACAGUAGAGGUGGGCGGAAUUCGUGGUGUAGCGGUGAAAUGCUUAGAUAUCACGAAGAACUCCGAUUGCGAAGGCAGUUCACUGGACUGCAACUGACACUGAGGCUCGAAAGUGUGGGUAUCAAACAGGAUUAGAUACCCUUGUAGUC
rnacentral:rRNA from 1 species